GCUAUAAAAAUCCGCGUGACGUUCAUCUCGGUGGAACUUCUCGCAGGGACGUGCGCUGGAGCUUGCGGCCGCGUGUCUGCGAUAAGUUCCCACCACCACCUCCCGCCCCCACGGCGCGACUACCCGCCUGGAUGUCGGCGUCCGCUGGAAGGGAGUGAGUCACCGGUGGUCGCACUAAUUGUACAUAUCAUCAUCCCUGUAAAUAAUAUAUUUCUCAUUGUACAUAGCCAUAGUCUUCUUAUUAAACUGAUGAAAUGUCGAAUUCUGCAGUCCGUCGCAAUUCUAUUGUCGCUGAGCGGCCGCCAUCUUGGUAGGCUUAGCAAAUAUGCCGUCGUUAGGCUUACAUGUUCACUGACAUAAUGGCCCCACAUGCCGAUUCGUAAAGCUGGUAGUUUCCCGUCCAUUGCUGCAAAUAGUCAGUAACCUUGUAUUUUUAAUUUUUAUCUGCACAGCUAUGAUGAUUCGCGUUGAUGUGCUUGAUUUCUCUUGUCUAUAGGCGACCUUGUUGAACAGUUCCCAGUCGUCGCAACGUUUUCAAGAAUAACGUGUUCUUUUUGCAGUAGAUAUCCCAAGCCGAUGAGAAGGUCGAGCACCCUUUUAUGUGUUGAAAGAGACUUGCGUUUCAGACCUUGAGAGUAUCGAAGAAAAUUCUGCAUUACUUCUGCAACUCCAGCAAAUUUUGCAAGUACUUGAGAAAAGUUCGUACGGGAUGGAUGAUAGCACUGCAUCGCCGUCGUCGCCUGUCAUGGAUUUGACUUUUCAACUCUUGGGUUUGCCCGCUCUUUUUCUUUUGUACACUAUUCAUGGCGUGGCUUCAUUUGUCAAUUAGCGAAUCGAUCAAAGAUUUUUUGAGUUUUUAUACUUGUCAUAAAAUGUAAGUUUCAUCUAGUUCAAGUUAUUGGUUGAUUACAUCAACUAUGCUAUGACGAAUUUUCCUAAAUUGCCAUCGCCAUUUCAGCCAAGGCACAUACAUUCUUCGUUCGAGAAGUCUGAUUGCUAUCUUUUGCUUUUGACCUUCUUCUCCAUUUCUAUAGCACCAAGUCCUAUUCAAAGAGAAGUCUUCACAGUACUCUGGAUUUACAGUGGAAGUAUUGCAAAGAUUGUGUUGGGGAAACUGCUAAAAGCUGACCAAUAUGGGAAUCUUGACCAAGGAUAGAAUUCUGGCUCAAGCUUCGAAAGCCAUUGUACAGUUCAAGGGGAAGAAAUGCCAAAGAACCCGAUCAGAGCUCAAAUCGUAACUUCUUCUGAAGUAUGGCAAGUUUGAAGUAAUGUGAAGCACAAGCUGUAAGUCGUCCUCUUGAAGAGUUCUCCAAGAUUUGUAUGCCAGUUAUGUUUUUAUGUGGAAACAUGGUGUUCCUGGUUUUAAAGUGCAGAUUCCAGCUAUGAAGUAUACAGUGCACAAUGAAGUUUCUCAAGGUUUCAAGUUUUGGUUCAAGUGGUCCUAGUUAGCGACAUUGAAUUGGAAUAGUCGGUGUUCAAGUAAUGUGAAUGUUCAAGAACAGUCCGUAUCCAAGCUUCAAAAUUCUUUGUGGUAGUUGUCAAGAAAUUUUUUUAUUUAACCUUCAAGCAGUCGUCAAGAGAUCUGCUAUCUGAAGUUAAAGCUUGAAGAAAUUUGAGAAGAAAUAGCAAGCAAGCAUUUAGGUUUUGGCCGAUGUGCUUAUGAAGUUUAAGUUAAAGAAAUAUUGCAAGCAGUUAAUUUUUGCAAGAUGUGCUCACUGAAGUUAAAGCAUGAAGAAAUGUCGGAGAACAAAGAAAAAUUACCAAGUAGUUAAAUUUUGCAAGAUGUGCUCUAUGAAGUUGAAGACAAUUCUGAGAAAUUUCACUUGCAAGUAGUUGAAUAUCUAUCACAAGAUGUGCUCUGAAGUUAGAAGAUUGAAGAAAUAGAACAGACCAGAAGAAAGAUUAUUCCAAGAGGGGGGAGGGGUCAUCUUACAGAAAAGAUUUAUUUAUACAUACAGAGCAAGAAACUCGGGCACAGUAGAUCGUGCCAGACAGAAGUGCCAAGGUUGCCCGAAAAGAAAUAACCGGAUAGCAAGUUUCGCCGUGCAUUGGAACUGGUUUGCUUUUCUCUUUUUCAGUAGGCUAGCUCAAUUUUUGGUGCUGCAUUAAAGCGAAAAUUUCUUAGCAGUGCUUACAUUUUAUAGCAGCAGCACAUAGGCUUAGGCUAGGCAUGAAUUUGGAACGAGUUUGAGGCUCAGGCAUGUUUGUUUUGCAGGUAUGCACGGGGACUGCCCAACGAGAUUUAGUGUCUGAAUGACCUGUAAUGAAAACGAGGGAUCGUUCAUUUAAUAGAAGGCAUCGCAAUGGUUACGCUGGUGUGUAGCUCCCACAGGUAUUCGUGAGUUCUUGUUGCAUUUGUUUCCCUGAACUUGUCCAUCUGUUACGUAACGUUGCAUUGCAUUUGUAAUUGACCACUUUCCUAUAGCAGCUGUACUAGUGCUCGCAAAAAAAAAAAUGUAUACAUAGUAUACUCCUCUGCAUUUCUGCGAAGUCCUUUUUCAGUCGAAUAUUUUCUCCAGCAUGUCUUGGGGAGGGGGGGGGCGUGUUGUAUGCUUUGCUUGAGACCCAUUGCAGCUAACUAGGUGUACCACCUGGAUGACAUAGACCUUAGUGACACCAUCACUGCUACGACACAAUCACAUCGUCUCACUGCGUCCUGGAGUCUCCGUGCGUUGCUUUCCAUUCUGCCUGGUGCGCCCUGGUCUUGUUUUUGUCCGUCCUGGCUGCACGGAAAUUCUCUCGUAAGCCACGUGUGAAUGGGGUUUUCGUUCUUCCUAUGAAAUUUGCACGGACCGUUUCCUAACUGCAAUAAGUUGCAAGUUGCUUUGCUAGUCUUUCAGACUGGGUACUGCAAGGCUUUUGUAAUGCUGAAGUGCGAACUUUGUGGGGGAGGGUUAAUUGUGCAGCUAUUGCAAGUUAACAGUAUCACCUGCAUUAGAGCACUUUGAAUUGUAACCUGCUGAAGCAUUGCAUGCAAUUUCUUCGCAUUGGUCGUCAAUCGUCGCCAGAGCAUUUUUAGAUUGGAUGGGGGGGGGGGGGGGGUAGCGGUAAUUGUGAUUAGUGUUUUUGCAGGAAGCUAGGUGUUUGGCAUAAAGGUCUGGAGCAAACCCUGCUGUUGUGAGCAGCCGACAUUAUUGCCGGGUAAGGGGAUUUUGAUGUAAUAGGGAAGAAGUUUCGGCGUAUUAUGCAAGUUUGUGCAGUGCCGAGGUAGCCAGGAUCUGGAAGAUCGGCAGAUCUCGUAAGCAUUUUUCUGGGGGCGGGGAAAGGGGCUGCUAUGGAAUAUCUAGUUUUUGCAGUGCUUGACGGAAGUUCCUUAAACUGGACCUGGAGAGAAGCUGCCGUAAGCAUUAUUUUUUGUAAGGGGAGGAGAUUUGGUUAAGUCUGUACAGUGCCAACAAUCUUUUACUUAGCAUUUCUAAGCGUCUUGUUUACGGUGGAGAGGGGGGGGAUUCACUUAACUUUUUCUUCUCCAAGAGUCGUACAGUUCGGUGCUCAUGGCAGUGCCUGUCUGCAGAAGAGGACCAAAUGUAAGCAGAGUGAAUUGAACUGCUAAUGGGGGUUGGGAGUGGUAAUUGACCUGUGCUGCGGAGCUUAUUUCAGCAUGAUUUGAGGAGUGCGAGUGGCUUUGUGUGGAUGGGGGGGGGCGUGCAUGAGUCCUUGCAGUUACGUGCCGACCCAUAGCUUCCCAUGUGCUUCACUGGCUGGCAAAGAGAAAGCGGGACGCGGUCCCUUUCCGGUGUGCUGGGCCCUCUUCGCCGAUAUUGGUUGCAGGGAGUACUUCUGUAGUAUUUGCUCCUGUGGUUUUGGGACCACCGCUUAUGUUGCCGUUAAAAUGCGCCUAGGCAAGAAGUUGGGGAAACGUAUCGAGAUCCUGUUCUGGUGUCCUGGCCCUAAAGCCCGCCGACCGCGAAGAUCCCUGUACCGGCUACCGGGCUGCUUAACUCCAUUCUACGCCGCCGCCUGCCGAGCGUGUAUGGGCAUGCUGGCCCUCGAGGACACGGUGCUGUGCACGCAGGUUUGCUCAGAGGCUUUCAUCUCUGCAGUCACUAAAUGUGGGGCUGUGUUUUUUUGUAGGGUUGUAGCUAGCUAUUUACACCUAGCCAACCUUGUGGAUUAUUGCUUAAGGUUAAGGUUAGUCCAGGUAGCAUUGCGUAACGGUGUGUGGGUAGUCGGCGUUUUCUUGCAGCUCCUGGCGCGAGUGUGUGCAAUGCCAAUGUGCGGGGCCGCUCCGGGCUGGCUGUGUUGUGUGCCGCUAUGAUGCCGAGGCGUCGAGCGUGUGCCGCGAUGAUGCCGUAAAGCAAGGCGUCGAGCAAGGGGUAUCCUUCCCUGCGUCGGCCUAUACAUCUGAGGCCGUGGUUCCCGUGCUUUCCCCGGUGUAGUGUGCAAGGACCGCCGGCGACGCGUCUUGUGCGAGUAGCGUGUGAGGCGUGCCAGGGCCGUCAUUGGAGGAUGCGUGUUCUCCCUCAAGUCAAGAUAUCUUUCCAAGAGUUCCAUUGCCAGCCUAGUCCGACCGAGAUGUCAUCGCGGCUUCAUUACCUAGCUCGUUCGACGACGCCUACCUAGCCCCAUCUAAAUGCCACCACUAAUGUCCCCCAGCGAUUGAAGCUUCAUCUGGCACUUGAUAUUCCUCUGCUGUAAAAAGGCUGAUCCUUCAAGCGAGAAAUGGACUAUUUGUCAAGAGAUUCCAAAGAUAUAAUGAAUACCAUUUAAGCUGAAAAGUGAACGCUGUUACAGAUCUAUUCUCCCCAAUUUUAUCAAGCAGUUUUGACCUUAUAUUUUUUUAAAGACCAUGUAAUUCAGUGCAAGUGUUAUGCACUGCUUAUUCCAGUUUUACAGCUUUUGUGAUGGUCAGUUUCAUUCGACUAUAUUCGUGAUCAUUUUUAUGCUGUAUCAUCUCGUUAUCCUCAAUUACAAUUCACUUGUGUUGAAGUUGGAAAUGGCAAAAGUAUGGGGGCAUAUGUAACGCAAGUAGCUCCAAAUGCAUUGUUGGCAAACAUAGCUUAACUCAUUUUUAAUGCAGUCUGAAUAAUGGCACUAAUUGAACGUGUGCCUUGAAAUGUUCCCAACAUUUUUGCUUGUCAGCAUUCCAGAGUUUGAAAGAUCUAUUGAUCACCAAACGAAUGGUGUUAAUGUAAACGGCAGCUGUAGUGACUAAAUUACUUGCAAACAGCCAUUGUUUAUGGUCUACACCUAAGUUGCAUACUUCAAAAUUGCAAUCGUUGGUCAAUGCAAACAUGUUCAUUUACACAUAGUUUGUCGGCUCUGAUGCAUUGCGUUAGAUGCAUCAUUACAAAGCUAAUAUGCGUGCACGUAAAGCAUAUGCAUUUGAUAAUAUUGAUAAAAAAAAGUUGCCGCACAUGUUGAAAAUGAGCAUAACGUGCAUCAGCAAGUAUUACUGUUACACAUCUAGAUCACUUGAUGGUGAGCUGCUUAAACACCUGUUCCUCUGAUUUGCCUAUAAAUAUGCACUUUGGAAAAUUUAAGAUUAUUGGCAAGUACUAAUUGUAGAUUUCACUUGUUACAUCAAUAAUCAAGCAUAUGGAAAAGUUGAUGGCCUUGAGUGGAUGUGCCAACUAGAAAUCCCUUACAGGCUGCCCAUUGGCAACUAUCAAAUACAUUUUUGCUAUGAUAUAUUGUAAUGCUGGCCAUUAGGUGUUGAGACCUUCAAUGUUUACACUAUUUGUGAAGAAAUUCCUGGAAGAAACUGACUUGCUUUCUACAAGUAAUAGCUUAGCCUUAAGCAAGAAAUUGUAUACCACUGUUACCAAAUGCAAAGGUAUCGCUUACAUGAAGUGAUCCUGACUAUGUGUAUGUAAUAAGCAGUUCUUGCUGCCUUUAAUUACAUUGGUGCAUAAUUUUGCACAGUAGCUACUUAGUAGGUCUGAAUCGAGUUUCAUAGAAGCAUUGUAUGUUCGAACUACAAAAAGUCUUGCAGUUUAUGCAAAAAUAUACUAUUCAAGAGUUGUAUGUUCAAAAACAAGUAUUGCAAGUAGCUGCCUUGAAACUGAGUUCUAUGUUCAAAAACAAAAGUAUUUCAUGUAUCUGCCUUGAAAACUAAAUCUCUAGUUUGCAUUUAUGAAUACUUUGCACUUAUGUCUGGACAGGGAGUGCGAAAUUCUUGAUUGCUUUGCCAUUUUCAUCCGAAGAUUCCUUCGACAAUUUUCAUCCAAAGCUCUUCUGCACAAGCGAUGAUGAUGAUGAUGAAUGCCAUAUGGCUAGUCAUUCAUUGUAAAUAUACUUACAACGCCCAGAGAUAAGCGUUGCUGUAAAUGAAGGGUCAAUAAAACGAUUCCACAAAAAGCCUAUGAAAAAAAAAUUGAGCAAAGCUUAUGAAAAAAAAAGAUAGAGGAAAACUUAUCAAAGGCUAGUGGAAAAAAAAAAAUUGGAAAGGUGUGGAAUCUGGGGCAGGUGCCAGGGGAGUAGGGAGCCUGCCAGAAAAAAUUAUAAGCACUCUAUUUGCAGCAACGUUAGCAGCUUUUGGUAUUGUGAAGUUUUAAGCAGAAGAAAAUGAAGAAUUCUUAAAUGAUGAAAUAAAGAACUCUUAAAACCAAUUGCACACAGUUUCCAGAGUGUUAUUCCAGGCCAGGCAGUAUUUGCCCCCCCCCCCCCCCCCAGACUCUUUGCUCACUGCUGCACUGUGCAGUAGAUUGGCAAGGGCGUGCUGGGAUUGAUGGCGCAAUCCAUGAACCCCUCCUUCACUUUGCAGAAGGGUUCAUGAAUUGACGCUUUUCUUGUAGUGCCACCUUUUUUUUUAGUGGUAAGCCAUGGAGAUACUGCAUAGAAGUUUACUGGAGGUCCUGUGGUGUGAAUGGUAUAGUAUGCAUUUACUCUUUGGUUGGCCAUGCUGUGGUGGUUACUGAAGUGGCAGGUAGUAAGCCUGUAGUCUUUGGAAUUGUGGGCGGUGUAAGUGUAAUAAGUCACAUAGCUGGUGUUUUAAGUAAAUUCACGGGAACAAAUCUUGUAGGUAGAUGUUUGCUAUGGCUCCUUUAGUGCGAGCUGCAUUAUAUACCAAGUGACAAUUAGUAUAGGUCUGGGUUGUGGUCUGGUGGGAUAUGACUUCAGUACUAAUUAGGCAAAUAGCUUUUGCAGAAAUAUUCAUGAUGUAGUAAUGUAAAUGUUGUGAUGUAAAUGUGAUUUGAUUGUAAUAUAUUUUGCUCAGCUUUGUUUUCCACAUGGCUUUUAGAAUAUCUAGUUUCCCACACAUAGCUUUCACAGUAUCGAUUCUGGAGAUAAGUAUGGGGUCUCUCCAUUUGCCCUCUUGCUGUGUAGGUGCUUAAAUACUCUGCUGCUUGCUGGUGUGAAUUUUUUUUACUAUACUCCGAAUGUGGAAGUGUACAGGGGUGUUAAAAAAAAAAAGGUUCUAUGUGGUGGUGGAGCACCUUCUCAUGAACUGUGGCAGACUUGCAAGGCUUCAGCUGUGCCUGUAUAGGCAGUCAUGCAUGUGUACUACCUCCAUUUAGAGGAGGUUGUGGUCAUUCUUGUUCGAAAGGUGUAGACAGUUACCCUUCCAGAUUGUCCCCACCCCGUUUUUUGUGUGGAAUAGUUGUCAAUUUUCUGUUCAAACUGUGAGAUCAAUUGAGCUUGUCUGGAGUAGUGGUGUUGCAUGCUAUGCUUGCUUACCCAGUUAAUUUCCUAGAUUUUCAGUUUUCCUCUUGAAGGACAAUAGUUCCCUUAAUUGGCCUUGCACAUUUACCUGUUCCCACAAUGUUUUCUGCUCCUGUCAUUCUCGGGCUCAUUCUGCUGACAUCUUUUGGUCUCUUAAAAGGUUAAAAGGGUGCUU